CAGCAAUCCGGGUUCUCCCAUAACAACAAUCAGAGUUCUCCCAUAACAACAAUCAGAGUUCUCCCAUAACAACAGAGUUCUCCCAUAACAACAGAGUUCUCCCAUAACAACACUCUUGUAUCUGAAGCUUGCCCCGUCCUCAACCCCUCUAUCCAUCAGAAAUAGUCAGCUUCCUCUAGUGCAGGGCACUCCAACCCUGUUCCUGGAGUCUACCCUCCUGUAGGUUUUAACUCCAACCCUGUUCCUGGAGUCUACCCUCCUGUAGGUUUUAACUCCAACCCUGUUCCUGGAGAGACCCUCCUGUAGGUUUUCACUCCAACCCUGUUCCUGGAGAGACCCUCCUGUAGGUUUUAACUCCAACCCUGUUCCUGGAGAGCUAACCUCCUGUAGGUUUUCACUCCAACCCUGUUCCUGGAGAGAUACCCUCCUGUAGGUUUUAAUUCCAACCCUGUUCCUGG
ensembl:lncRNA